rnacentral:rRNA from 1 species
UAGGGAAUCUUCGGCAAUGGACGGAAGUCUGACCGAGCAACGCCGCGUGAGUGAAGAAGGUUUUCGGAUCGUAAAGCUCUGUUGUAAGAGAAGAACGAGUGUGAGAGUGGAAAGUUCACACUGUGACGGUAUCUUACCAGAAAGGGACGGCUAACUACGUGCCAGCAGCCGCGGUAAUACGUAGGUCCCGAGCGUUGUCCGGAUUUAUUGGGCGUAAAGCGAGCGCAGGCGGUUAGAUAAGUCUGAAGUUAAAGGCUGUGGCUUAACCAUAGUAGGCUUUGGAAACUGUUUAACUUGAGUGCAAGAGGGGAGAGUGGAAUUCCAUGUGUAGCGGUGAAAUGCGUAGAUAUAUGGAGGAACACCGGUGGCGAAAGCGGCUCUCUGGCUUGUAACUGACGCUGAGGCUCGAAAGCGUGGGGAGCAAACAGGAUUAGAUACCCUGGUAGUCCACGCUGUAAACGAUGAGUGCUAGGUGUUAGACCCUCUCCGGGGUUUAGUGCCGUAGCUAACGCAUUAAGCACUCCGCCUGGGGAGUACGACCGCAAGGUUG